ensembl:lncRNA
GGCGAUUGAGCCCGCCUCCUCCCCCUAAGCUCAGGGAAGAGAAAGGCAGUCGGGCUGGGGAGGGAGAGAGGAGAGAAGUGGGAGGUGGGCACGCGGGGGAGCGGGAGGAGGAGACCGGACAAUAGGAGAGAAAGUGAAGCCGCGGCUGAAAAUAAAAAGGCGCACCAGCUCGGGGCGCCCUCGGCGCAUUCAGCGUUUAAUAAGUGCUUGUCGAUAAGAGCUCGGGAAGCCAAAAUCAAUAACGAGGCGCCCCGGCCCCUCCGCUCGGUGCCCUUGGACCUUCCGGGCUGAUGGGUGGGAAUGGCCCCGGCAGCCUCUGCACCUCCCUUCCCCCAGUUCUGGAAGGACUUUUGGGGAUCAAUCGGGACUUCUUGUGAAGGGUCUUCUAGUGUGGUCUCGAAUGAUCCUGGAAGUCGGUAGGAGUUUUGCCAGGAUGCCUCAGCUUCUGGGCGCAACUAAAGCUCUAUCUCUUCUUCGGGCCUAGCAGCGGCCUUUCCCCGCCGCAGAUGUGGUGUGGAAGGAUGCUAACUUAGUGUAAUUGUUUCGACAGGACAGGGCCCCGGCUGGACAGACUGCCAAAUCAUUCCUCUGACGCUGCGCCGUUCUCUUAUCUAUUGCUUCAGGCGAAUCGCUGGUGGACACCCCUCCGCUACCCUGAUCUCACGUCGGCAGAAUAGUUCUCCCACCUCGCCAUCUCACCUUUCAGGUUCAGCGCAGUUCUGCCCGGCUGAACGUAAAGAACCUGCGGCUCUGGGUCCCGGGAGUGAGAUCUGCAGAGAUAAGCAGCCGGACAUCCCCGGGCUGGCUGACCCCACCGGCCCGUGAACGCUAGGAUUGUGCACGUAGCCGCAGGAGCAGAACCGCGCCGGUCUGACUGCCAGAUACCCCUCUAUGGCAUGUGGGUUGGGCUCUUGGAUGCUUUCCCUGCCUCCCCCCACCCCCUUCCUUUGGGGGCUCCGAGCAGGGGCCUGCAGGUUUCGUCCGGGCGGCUGAUUCUGCCCGCCUGGAGGCAUGAGGGAGUAGAUUCUUGGGCUCGGAUUGUAACUGCUUUCUAUCUGAAUAUGUAACAGGACUGGGACAGGGAAGGGUUGUGUGAAUGGUUGGAAGGCUUUUCAUCGGUGCAGCCCAACACCAGCUGGAAGCAUCCCAGCCUGAAGGGCUCUGUAACCCCUCUCCGCCUUCCCCUCCUCCUAAAGAACACCCCCCCACCCACCCACCCAUUCUGUGUGCUGUUGUCCUCCAGUCCUUGAAACUGGGCUGCUAGAGGUAUUGCUGAGGAGCACGGACAGUAUGGCUGGAGUCUUAGGCAAAGCCCGGACUAGAAACUGGUAUCUUUUCUGAAGGUGUUUCAGAUUCACAACGAGUCAAUUCUGUCUCAGAAGUCAAAUGAACAUAUUUUUUCAGAGGAGGAAUGAAAUCAAGUAACUAGGAGGAGGAACAAAUUCAGUUCAAUUUGACAAAUGUUUAUUAAUCACAUAUUGAAUGUGAGGAACUAUGCCAGUUGGAUACAAAAGCCAAAAAAGGAAAUAGUCCUGACCCUCACAGAUCUUCCAUUCUACUGGCUGGAUGCAGCAUAUACAUAAAUAUAUCCAUAAAUGUAAAGUAAUUUGAAGCUGGAGUAAACAUUAACAUUUGGAAGAAUCUAGGAAAUCUUCCAAAGAAGGGAGGCUAAGGAGCUAAAAGAAGGUAAAAACUAGUGAAGAGUAGGUGGGAAGAUAAGUGGGGAGCAAAUGCUGACUUCUAGGAAUGGUUGGUAUUUUAGUUUGGAUCACAAAGGAAAGCUCAGAAAUUUGGUCCUCCCAUUGACUCAGUAAAUAAAAUUCUAAGCUUUUUAAGGUAAAAGGACCCUUAUCUAAUUCACAGAAGACUGAGAGGAAGGAAAUGAUUUGGUUAAGGUCACUGAGAUUAAAAUAGUGAUUUCAGGGCUCCAAAUACUGUGGUCUAGUAAUUGUCAAAGUGUGGUCCAGGGACCCCCUUAGGGAAACGGUUAAGGGUGGGGGCCCCUUUUCAGGGAGUCCAUGAAGUCAAAACAAUUUUCAUAGUAAUACCAUUAUAUUUUAAUUUCUAAUAUAAUACAUUUUUAUAUUUAAUUUAAACAAAUACAAAAUGAAAAAAGGAAUAAAUUGUGAUGCACAUGGCAGACCCUAAGAGAAGAUUCAACAUAAAAUAAUAAAUUUUCAUUUCAAGAAAUAAAUUCUACCACAUUGUCUUCUAAGCUGCCCUGCUUCUCUUUGCUUCCUUGUUCAUUUUCUUUUGUUCUCUGCUAAUUACUUUUUACUUUAUUUUUUCUCCUCCUUUCCCCUAUCAGUCUAAAAAAGGCUACAAUUAAGCAUGGCUAUGUUAAACUGUACUAUGCUUAUUUUCUCCUAUCAUUUAUUUCUCUGAAGGUGUCUAGCAUAUUCCUUCACAAGUCCAAGUCUUUUCAUGUUUUCUCUAAAUCAGCCAACUCAUCAUUUCCUACAACAUAGCAAUAUUCUAAUCCAAUCACAUUCAUUAUCUGAGAGAUUGUGACUCCCCCCUCCCAGUUUUCUGCAUUCCUUCAGUGCUCUCACUUUAUGUCUUAAGGUCUGCUACUGAUGAAUCUGUUUCUUUUUUCCCUGGUUUCUUAAAUCCCUGACCUUUUAUUCUACCAAAUGAGCUUUGUUUUUAAUAUGAUAAAUAUUAAUAAACAUAAUUCACAUAAACAAAAAGCUCUUGGUGGGGAGAAUCUUCACUAAUUUUUAAGAGUAUAAAACGGGUCCUGAGACCAAAAAGUUUGAAAACAACUGUUCAUAGUUUUUCCACUAACUACAUCAAGCAAUCUAGUCUCUCUUCCUGCCCACUCCUCCCCACCCCUCAUUAAUGAAGACUGGGCUGGGCUUUCCAUUGCUGAAUCACUAAUGGUUAUUACUCAGAUUAUUUACAGAGCUGAUGAAGCAGUCAAGUUCAAGAUAGAUAUAUCUACCCAUAGGCUAAAACAUCUAUUGAUUUGUGGCCUGAACCUUGCUAAUAUUUGAACUAGCACACAAGGAGAUAAAAGGUUUCAUAGAGGGCUCCCAUCUCUGUGUGUACCAGUUCCCAUUAAUCAGCCAUUUGUGCCUCCUGGAGAACAGGCCAGGCCAGUGCCAACAUCAUUAAGGCUACUUAACCUUUACUCAGCUCGCGCUGAGCCGGAGCAGAGAAAGCUCCCUGCCCCCCACCGCUGCAUCGAUGACUUCCCCAUUUGGUGGAGGAAAGGUUGAGGCAGUGUGGUUGAGUUGGUUCCGAGGGGCUCUACGGAACUGUAGACGGAGG